rnacentral:rRNA from 1 species
GACGUAGGGCGCGAGCGUUGUCCGGAUUUCUUGGGCGUAAAGAGCUCGUAGGCGGUUUGUCGCGUCUGCCGUGAAAGUCCGGGGCUCAACUCCGGAUCUGCGGUGGGUACGGGCAGACUAGAGUGAUGUAGGGGAGACUGGAAUUCCUGGUGUAGCGGUGAAAUGCGCAGAUAUCAGGAGGAACACCGAUGGCAAAGGCAGGUCUCUGGGCAUUAACUGACGCUGAGGAGCGAAAGCAUGGGGAGCGAACAGG